UACGGAGGGUGCGAGCGUUGUUCGGAAUUAUUGGGCGUAAAGCGCGUGCAGGCGGUUUUGUAAGUCUGAUGUGAAAGCCCCGGGCUCAACCCGGGAAGUGCAUUGGAUACUGGCGACCUAGAGUGCGGUAGAGGGGGGUGGAAUUCCGCGUGUAGCAGUGAAAUGCGUAGAGAUGCGGAGGAACACCGAUGGCGAAGGCAGCCCCCUGGGCUAACACUGACGCUCAGGCACGAAAGCGUGGGGAGCAAACAGG
rnacentral:rRNA from 1 species